GAACUUACCUGGAAGGGGAGACACCGUGAUCAUGAAGGUGGUUUCCCCAGGGUGAGGCUUGUCCACUGCACUCCAGGUGAGCUGACCCCGGCGAUUUCCCCAAAUGUGGGAGACUUAACUGCAUAAUUUGUGGUGGUGGGGGACUGCAUUUGCGCUCUCCCCUU
rnacentral:snRNA from 1 species